AGGCGCGUAGCUCAAUGGGAGAGCGCUACCUUGACACGGUAGAGGCUAGCGGUUCAAUCCCGCUCGCGCCUA
rnacentral:tRNA from 1 species